rnacentral:lncRNA from 1 species
GCGCAGCCCCUCGGGAGCUCCGAGGGAGCCUUGCCUCUGUCGGAGGCCCCGCCCCCGAUGCCGCGCUAGCCGGCCGUUCCGCUCUCACCUGUACCCGCCCACUUCUGGAGGUCUGGGUCACCUCAGGUGUGUCCUAACGUGGGUGUGGCGUGACUCUAUUAGUUCUAGCCCUGCUGGGGUUCCUAAGCUUGAGAUAUACCUCUUCCUUGACUCUGGAAAGGCAAAUAAAAUGGCCCAAAGCUCUUCCAGGACUGCACACAGCGUUCCAUCUGUAUCCAGACCAAGAGAGCUCAGAGCCUUCCACACCCCGCAGUGCUGCAGACCCAAGCCCUGGGGAUCUCCACUGUGCUCACACUUAGCACGUCCUUGCUGAGUCAUCCUGGGCUCUGCUCUUAGGUAUGGAUGAGGGCUCCUGCUCUGUCUCCAGCCCCCUCAGCAAUGCGGCUGGAAACAGACGUUCUAAAUGCUGCAGAAAGGAACGCACAAGCAGCAAGGCUAUUUAUCUUUGCAAAAAUGAAAUUAACCGGGCUAGCAAGUCCUCGACGCAAGCCACCCCAGCCCCAACAUGCCUUCCCUACUCUGGAAGUGACCCUGUCUGUUGUCUGCAUAUAACACAACAGGAUGUCAGUUUGUGCUGAGACAGGAGGAAUCAGGUCACACAGGAAGAAGAUGGACUCUGCGUAGAAUGUUUAUUAGCUGAUGAAUGGAUACUGAAAAUGAAUUUUAUUCAGCCAUAAGGAAAAAUG